rnacentral:misc_RNA from 1 species
UCCCCGUUGUCCGAGGCGGUUCCCCGAAGGGCUGUCCGGCCAGACACAGGUAACUGGCCGCGGGGGUUGCGCUCGUUGCGGGACUUAACCCAACAUCUCACGACACGAGCUGACGACAGCCAUGCAGCAUCUGUGGAGCACCCUCGAAGGCGACCGUGUUUCCACGGCUUGCAGCUCCAUGUCAAGUCUGGGUAAGGUUAAGCGCGUUGCGUCGAAUUAAACCACACGCUCCGCUGCCUGUGCGGGCCCCCGUCAAUUCCUUUGAGUUUCAGCCUUGCGGCCGUACUCCCCAGGCGGGGUGCUUAAUGCGUUAGCUACGGCACGGAGCGAGUCAAUCGCCGCCCCACACCUAGCACCCAACGUUUACGGCUAGGACUAC